GGUGCUAUAGUGUAGUGGUUAUCACUCGGGAUUUUGAUGACUUCAUUUGGGUCGAUCAUUCCCGGAACCCAGGUUCGAACCCUGGUAGCACCU